GUGGGGAAUAUUGGACAAUGGGCGCAAGCCUGAUCCAGCCAUGCCGCGUGAGUGAUGAAGGCCUUAGGGUUGUAAAGCUCUUUCAGUGGGGACGAUAAUGACGCUACCCACAGAAGAAGCCCCGGCUAACUUCGUGCCAGCAGCCGCGGUAAUACGAAGGGGGCUAGCGUUGUUCGGAUUUACUGGGCGUAAAGCGCACGUAGGCGGAUCGUUAAGUCGGGGGUGAAAUCCUGGAGCUCAACUCCAGAACUGCCUUCGAUACUGGCGAUCUUGAGUCCGGAAGAGGUGAGUGGAACUCCGAGUGUAGAGGUGGAAUUCGUAGAUAUUAGGAAGAACACCAGUGGCGAAGGCGGCUCACUGGUCCGGUACUGACGCUGAGGUGCGAAAGCGUGGGGAGCAAACAGGAUUAGAUACCCGAGUAGUCC
rnacentral:rRNA from 1 species